rnacentral:rRNA from 1 species
CGGCAUGGAUUAGGCAUGCAAGUCGUGCGCGAUUUACGGAUUGAGACUUCGGUCGAUUGAAGUAAAUGAAAGCGGCGAAAGGGAGAGUAACGCGUGGAUAUCUGCCCUUGGCUCCAGGAUAGCUACGGGAAACUGUGGGUAAUACUGGAUAAUAUCUCCGGAUCAAAGGUGUGAUUCCGGCCGAGGAUGAGUCCGCGUCCUAUUAGGUAGUUGGCGGGGUAAAGGCCCACCAAGCCGAAAAUGGGUACCGGGUGUGAGAACAUGGCCCGGCUCACUGGGACUGAGACACUGCCCAGACGUCUACGGAUGGCUGCAGUCGAGAAUCUUCCGCAAUGGGCGAAAGCCUGACGGAGCGACGCCGCGUGCGGGAUGAAGGCCUUCGGGUUGUAAACCGCUGUCAGUUGGGAGGAAGUGCUAUGGGGUUCUCUUCAUAGCUUGACCGAUCUUCAGAGGAAGUACGGGCUAAGUACGUGCCAGCAGCCGCGGUAU